CGUACUGCGAGAUCGUCCCCCCCCUUCGAUUGAACACGCCCAAUUCUUCGGAGCAUCAUAGAAUUUUGCAUGGCGAAGCCUGAGGCAGCAGCCGUCGACGAUGAAGGUUUCGAUCGUAAGUCUUUUCGCGUGACGAGAACGACGUAGCGCAGAUAAGUGUCGCUACUACGUGCCAGCAGCCGCGGUAACACGUAGACGCAAGCGUAUCCGGAAUACUGGGCGUAAAGGGCGUGUAGGCGGCACGGUAAGUCAACCGUGAAAGCUCCCGGCUAAACUGGAGAGGUCGGAUGAGACUGCCGAGCUAGAGGGUCGUAGAGGGGUGUGGAAUUCCGGGUGUAGUGGUGAAAUGCGUAGAGAUCCGGAGGAACACCAGAGGCGAAGGCGGCACCCUGGACGACACCAGACGCUGAGACGCGACAGCACGGGGAGCGAACGGGAUUAGAAACCCCGGUAGUCCGUGCCGUAAACGAUGUGCACUAGAUGUUCGGUCCUCUACGGGGGAGUGAGCGUCGCAGCCAACGCGGUAAGUGCACCGCCUGGGGAGUACGGUCGCAAGGCUAAAACUCAAAGGAAUUGACGGGGCCCCGCACAAGCAGCGGAGCGUGUGGUUUAAUUCGAGGCUACACGAAGAACCUUACCAGGGUUUGACAUGCUAGUGGUAGUGAAGUGAAAACGGAACGACCCUUCGGGGAGCUAGCACAGGUGCUGCAUGGCUGUCGUCAGCUCGUGUCGUGAGAUGUCAGGUUAAGUCCUGUAACGAGCGCAACCCUCGUCGUUAGUUAUACGUGUCUAACGAGACUGCCCGUGAUAAGCGGGAGGAAGGUGAGGAUGACGUCAAGUCAGCAUGGCCUUUAUAUCCUGGGCUACACACACGCUACAAUGGCCAGUACAAUGGGCAGCCAAGCCGCGAGGCGGAGCCAAUCCCGUAAAGCUGGUCUCAGUUCGGAUUGCAGGCUGCAACUCGCCUGCAUGAAGUCGGAGUUGCUAGUAACCGCGCGUCAGCCAUAGUGCGGUGAAUACGUUCCCGGGGAUUGUACACACCGCCCGUCACGUCAUGGAAGUUGGCAACGCCUGAAGUCGGUGAGCUAACCCGCAAGGGAGGCAGCCGCCCAAGGCGGGGUCGGUAACUGGGACGAAGUCGUAACAAGGUAGCCGUA
rnacentral:rRNA from 1 species